rnacentral:rRNA from 1 species
AGUGAACGCUGGCGGUAGGCCUAACACAUGCAAGUCGAACGGCAGCACAGUAAGAGCUUGCACUUACGGGUGGCGAGUGGCGGACGGGUGAGGAAUACAUCGGAAUCUACUUUUUCGUGGGGGAUAACGUAGGGAAACUUACGCUAAUACCGCAUACGACCUACGGGUGAGAGCAGGGGAUCUUCGGACCUUGCGCGAUUGAAUGAGCCGAUGUCGGAUUAGCUAGUUGGCGGGGUAAAGGCCCACCAAGGCGACGAUCCGUAGCUGGUCUGAGAGGAUGAUCAGCCACACUGGAACUGAGACACGGUCCAGACUCCUACGGGAGGCAGCAGUGGGGAAUAUUGGACAAUGGGCGCAAGCCUGAUCCAGCCAUACCGCGUGGGUGAAGAAGGCCUUCGGGUUGUAAAGCCCUUUUGUUGGGAAAGAAAAGCAGCAGGUUAAUACCCCGCUGUUCUGACGGUACCCAAAGAAUAAGCACCGGCUAACUUCGUG